rnacentral:rRNA from 1 species
AUUGAACGCUGGCGGCAGGCCUAACACAUGCAAGUCGAGCGAGCGGCGGACGGGUGAGUAAUGUAUGGGGACUGCCCGAUAGAGGGGGAUAACUACUGGAAACGGUGGCUAAUACCGCAUACUAUCGGAAAACCCAUAUGGGAUUAGCUGGUAGGUGGGGUAAAGGUUCACCUAGGCGACGAUCUCUAGCUGGUCUGAGAGGAUGAGCAACCUCACUGGGACUGAGACACGGUCCAGACUCCUACCGAUCCAUCGUGGAAAAAUAUUGCACAGUGGGCGCAAGCCUGAUUCAGCCAUGCCGCGUGUAUGAAGAAGUCCUUAGGGUUUUAAAGUACUUUCAGCGGGGAGGCGUUACCCGCAGAAGAAGCACCGGCUAACUCCGUGCCAGCAGCCGCGGUAAUAC